rnacentral:rRNA from 1 species
GAUGAACGCUGGCGGCGUGCCUAAUACAUGCAAGUCGAGCGAACGGACGAGAAGCUUGCUUUUCUGAUGUUAGCGGCGGACGGGUGAGUAACACGUGGAUAACCUACCUAUAAGACUGGGAUAACUUCGGGAAACCGGAGCUAAUACCGGAUAAUAUUUUGAACCGCAUGGUUCAAAAGUGAAAGACGGUCUUGCUGUCACUUAUAGAUGGAUCCGCGCUGCAUUGGCUAGUUGGUAAGGUAGCGGCUUACCAAGGCAACGAUGCAUAGCCGACCUGAGAGGGUGAUCGGCCACACUGGAACUGAGACACGGUCCAGACUCCUACGGGAGGCAGCAGUAGGGAAUCUUCCGCAAUGGGCGAAAGCCUGACGGAGCAACGCCGCGUGAGUGAUGAAGGUCUUCGGAUCGUAAAACUCUGUUAUUAGGGAAGAACAUAUGUGUAAGUAACUGUGCACAUCUUGACGGUACCUAAUCAGAAAGCCACGGCUAACUAUGUG